GGAAAUUCCACCGAGAACAGUGACCAUGGUGCCUCAGAUGGCCUGGAUUAUAUUCUGAAGCAAAUGGAUUUGUCGGAAUUGAUUGACCAAUUGGAAGUGUUGGCAGAAAUUCUUCUGGUGGCUUUGAAAUGGGUACUGCAUGAACUAAUUUUGAGAAUGGAACAUGUGGCACCCUUGCCAAGGGUGGCAGUUAACGAGAAGUCAGCGCUAAGACAUUAAUCUGUGCCCGCCGUCAAGGCUAACACAAACAUAUCAGCACUCGGAACAUCCUGCAAAUCCUCCAGGGCUGUCAAAAAUGAAUUUUAUGAUGUCAUAGAGCCAUUGGGUUUGGCAAGAAAACAUGUUGGCUACAUCUAUUGCUGAGCCCUGUAUAUCCAUGAAGAUCCAGCUGCUGCAGUGUAACUUGACCGUGUGCUUCACACACCCUGAUAACAUGGCUUGUCUCCAGGCUGACGUGAAAACCCC